AUUGAACGCUGGCGGCAGGCCUAACACAUGCAAGUCGAACGGUAGCACAGAGAGCUUGCUCUCGGGUGACGAGUGGCGGACGGGUGAGUAACGUCUGGGAAACUGCCCGAUGGAGGGGGAUAACUACUGGAAACGGUAGCUAAUACCGCAUAACGUCGCAAGACCAAAGCGGGGGACCUUCGGGCCUCACACCAUCGGAUGUGCCCAGAUGGGAUUAGCUAGUAGGUGGGGUAAUGGCUCACCUAGGCGACGAUCCCUAGCUGGUCUGAGAGGAUGACCAGCCACACUGGAACUGAGACACGGUCCAGACUCCUACGGGAGGCAGCAGUGGGGAAUAUUGCACAAUGGGCGCAAGCCUGAUGCAGCCAUGCCGCGUGUAUGAAGAAGGCCUUCGGGUUGUAAAGUACUUUCAGCGGGGAGGAAGGCGGUGAGGUUAAUAACCUCGCCGAUUGACGUUACCCGCAGAAGAAGCACCGGCUAACUCCGUGCCAGCCGCCGCGGUAA
rnacentral:rRNA from 1 species